rnacentral:rRNA from 1 species
AACUUCUUUAUCACCGAGUGCUUGCACUCACCGGUAACGGUUUGAGUGGCGAACGGGUGAGUAACACGUGGGCAACCUGCCCAAAAGAGGGGGAUAACACUUGGAAACAGGUGCUAAUACCGCAUAACCAUAGUUACCGCAUGGUAGCUAUGUAAAAGGUGGCUAUGCUACCGCUUUUGGAUGGGCCCGCGGCGCAUUAGCUAGUUGGUGGGGUAAAGGCUUACCAAGGCAAUGAUGCGUAGCCGAACUGAGAGGUUGAUCGGCCACAUUGGGACUGAGACACGGCCCAAACUCCUACGGGAGGCAGCGGUAGGGAAUCUUCCACAAUGGGCGAAAGCCUGAUGGAGCAACGCCGCGUGGGUGAAGAAGGUCUUCGGAUCGUAAAACCCUGUUGUUAGAGAAGAAAGUGCGUGAGAGUAACUGUUCACGUUUCGACGGUAUCUAACCAGAAAGCCACGGCUAACUACGUGCCAGCAGCCGCGGUAAUACGUAGGUGGCAAGCGUUAUCCGGAUUUAUUGGGCGUAAAGGGAACGCAGGCGGUCUUUUAAGUCUGAUGUGAAAGCCUUCGGCUUAACCGGAGUAGUGCAUUGGAAACUGGGAGACUUGAGUGCAGAAGAGGAGAGUGGAACUCCAUGUGUAGCGGUGAAAUGCGUAGAUAUAUGGAAGAACACCAGUGGCGAAAGCGGCUCUCUGGUCUGUAACUGACGCUGAGGUUCGAAAGCGUGGGUAGCAAGCAGGAUUAGAUACCCUGGUAGUCCACGCCGUAAACGAUGAAUGCUA